CCUCCUUGUUAUUUCCGCCUAUAUACCGCCGUCGUCAGCCUACCCUGUGAAGGGCCAGAAGUGAGCAAAAUUGGUAAAGCCCAAAACGUCAGGUCGAGGUGUAGUGAAUGAGAGGGGAAGAAAUGGGCUACAUUUCCUAGCUUAGGAAAUACGAACAAUGAACUGAAAUAAGCAUUAGAAGGUGGAUUUAGCAGUAAGCAGGGAAACAGAGUGUCCCGCUGAAGAAUGGCCAUAAAGCACGCACACACCGCCCGUCACUCUCCCCAAGUCAACCCUAUAAAUAAAUGUACCUAAAAAAUUAUGCCUGCAAAGGGGAGGCAAGUCGUAACAUGGUAAGCGUACCGGAAGGUGCGCUUGGAAUAAU
rnacentral:rRNA from 1 species